rfam:Salmo salar isolate Sally breed double haploid chromosome ssa05, whole genome shotgun sequence.
UGCAUUCACUACUGUAAGUCGCUCUGGAUAAGAGCGUCUGCUAAAUUACAAAAU